UACGGGAGGCAGCAGUGGGGAAUAUUGCACAAUGGGCGCAAGCCUGAUGCAGCCAUGCCGCGUGUAUGAAGAAGGCCUUCGGGUUGUAAAGUACUUUCAGUCGUGAGGAAGGUGUUAAGGUUAAUAACCUUAGCAAUUGACGUUAGCGACAGAAGAAGCACCGGCUAACUCCGUGCCAGCAGCCGCGGUAAUACGGAGGGUGCGAGCGUUAAUCGGAAUUACUGGGCGUAAAGGGCACGCAGGCGGUUAAUUAAGUUGGAUGUGAAAUCCCCGGGCUUAACCUGGGAAUGGCAUUCAAGCUGGUUAGCUAGAGUCUUGUAGAGGGGGUAGAAUUCCAUGUGUAGCGGUGAAAUGCGUAGAGAUGUGGAGGAAUACCGGUGGGCGAAGGCGGCCCCUGGGACAAAGACUGACGCUCAUGUGCGAAAGCGUGGGGAGCAAACAGGGAUUAGAUACC
rnacentral:rRNA from 1 species